AGACAAAGUCGCUUCCAUCAGGAAAGGGCAAAUGGACACCCAGGGUGGGAAGGAGUCAUUUAUGAGAUCUGUGGCAUCUGCCCCAGCCCUUACCGGAGGUGGAGAAAAGAAGGACUUUCUGGACCUGCUUUCAGGCUGUCGACGUGCAACAAGUCCCUGGGCCCUUCCAGAAAUCAGAUUUGCUGACUGUUCUCUAUGUUGUCACUGAUACCUUUGGUGGGAAGAGAACAAUACUGGCCUGUG